rfam:Pan troglodytes isolate Yerkes chimp pedigree #C0471 (Clint) chromosome 12, whole genome shotgun sequence.
GCUGGGUGUGGUGGUGUGUGCCUGUAGUCUCAGCUACUGGGGAGGCUGAGGUGGGAGGAUUGCUUGAGCCCAGGAGUUCUAGGUUACAGUGAACUAUGAUCAUGCCACUGUACUCCAGCCUGGGUUACAGAGCAAUACCUUGUCUCAA